UGUAUUUUGCCUAUGGAUGGCGUUCAGCACCAAAGACAGACAUGUUUCGUGUGUGAGUGGUGUUCAGCACCAAGGACAGGUUUGUUUUUUA
rnacentral:pre_miRNA from 1 species